GCGGAAAUGGAGGCGAAUCUCUAAGAUUUCCACUGAUAUUUCUCUUAUCAACAGUCUUGAUGAUGGCUGCCUUAUGCAUAUCUUCAGUUUUCUCUCCCCAAUUCCAGAUGGCGAUUCUUGGCAUGCCAUCCUCGGCUUUGGUUGCGAGUAGACCGUGCUGUGAAGGAUUUAUCUCAGCCUGGAGUUUAUCCGAACAUUGAGAUGGCCGUCUCUGCUGCAAGGCCUGGCGACACUAUACUGAUUGCUGCAGGAGGCAGCCAUCAUGUGUCAAAUAUUCAGAUUGAAAAGCCACUU
rnacentral:misc_RNA from 1 species